rnacentral:rRNA from 1 species
CCUACGGGUGACUGCAGUGGGGAAUAUUGCGCAAUGGGCGAAAGCCUGACGCAGCGACGCCGCGUGAGGGAUGAAGGUCUUCGGAUCGUAAACCUCUGUCAGCAGGGAAGAACGGUCACGGUGCUAAUCAGCAGUGAAUUGACGGUACCUGCAAAGGAAGCACCGGCUAACGCCGUGCCAGCAGCCGCGGUAAUACGGAGGGGGCGAGCGUUAAUCGGAAUUAAGGGGCGUAAAGCGCUCGUAGGCGGUAUGUCAAGUCAAGGGUGAAAUCCCCGCGCUCACCGUGGGAACUGCCUUUGAAACUGGCAAACUGGCGUGUGUGAGAGGUUAGUGCAAUUCCAGGUGUAGGCGU